rnacentral:rRNA from 1 species
UACGGAGGGAGCUAGCGUUGUUCGGAAUUACUGGGCGUAAAGCGCACGUAGGCGGAUAUUUAAGUCAGGGGUGAAAUCCCAGAGCUCAACUCUGGAACUGCCUUUGAUACUGGGUAUCUUGAGUAUGGAAGAGGUAAGUGGAAUUGCGAGUGUAGAGGUGAAAUUCGUAGAUAUUCGCAGGAACACCAGUGGCGAAGGCGGCUUACUGGUCCAUAACUGACGCUGAGGUGCGAAAGCGUGGGGAGCAAACAGGG